rnacentral:piRNA from 1 species
UGAGAAGGAUGAGAUGGUGAGUGCCAGAU